rnacentral:rRNA from 1 species
GAUGAACGCUGGCGGCGUGCCUAAUACAUGCAAGUCGAGCGAACGGACGAGAAGCUUGCUUCUCUGAUGUUAGCGGCGGACGGGUGAGUAACACGUGGAUAACCUACCUAUAAGACUGGGAUAACUUCGGGAAACCGGAGCUAAUACCGGAUAAUAUUUUGAACCGCAUGGUUCAAAAGUGAAAGACGGUCUUGCUGUCACUUAUAGAUGGAUCCGCGCUGCAUUAGCUAGUUGGUAAGGUAACGGCUUACCAAGGCAACGAUGCAUAGCCGACCUGAGAGGGUGAUCGGCCACACUGGAACUGAGACACGGUCCAGACUCCUACGGGAGGCAGCAGUAGGGAAUCUUCCGCAAUGGGCGAAAGCCUGACGGAGCAACGCCGCGUGAGUGAUGAAGGUCUUCGGAUCGUAAAACUCUGUUAUUAGGGAAGAACAUAUGUGUAAGUAACUGUGCACAUCUUGACGGUACCUAAUCAGAAAGCCACGGCUAACUACGUGCCAGCAGCCGCGGUAAUACGUAGGUGGCAAGCGUUAUCCGGAAUUAUUGGGCGUAAAGCGCGCGUAGGCGGUUUUUUAAGUCUGAUGUGAAAGCCCACGGCUCAACCGUGGAGGGUCAUUGGAAACUGGAAAACUUGAGUGCAGAAGAGGAAAGUGGAAUUCCAUGUGUAGCGGUGAAAUGCGCAGAGAUAUGGAGGAACACCAGUGGCGAAGGCGACUUUCUGGUCUGUAACUGACGCUGAUGUGCGAAAGCGUGGGGAUCAAACAGGAUUAGAUACCCUGGUAGUCCACGCCGUAAACGAUGAGUGCUAAGUGUUAGGGGGUUUCCGCCCCUUAGUGCUGCAGCUAACGCAUUAAGCACUCCGCCUGGGGAGUACGACCGCAAGGUUGAAACUCAAAGGAAUUGACGGGGACCCGCACAAGCGGUGGAGCAUGUGGUUUAAUUCGAAGCAACGCGAAGAACCUUACCAAAUCUUGACAUCCUUUGACAACUCUAGAGAUAGAGCUUUCCCCUUCGGGGGACAAAGUGACAGGUGGUGCAUGGUUGUCGUCAGCUCGUGUCGUGAGAUGUUGGGUUAAGUCCCGCAACGAGCGCAACCCUUAAGCUUAGUUGCCAUCAUUAAGUUGGGCACUCUAAGUUGACUGCCGGUGACAAACCGGGGGAAGGUGGGGAUGACGUCAAAUCAUCAUGCCCCUUAUGAUUUGGGCUACACACGUGCUACAAUGGACAAUACAAGGGGCAGCGAAACCGCGAGGUCAAGCAAAUCCCAUAAAGUUGUUCUCAGUUCGGAUUGUAGUCUGCAACUCGACUACAUGAAGCUGGAAUCGCUAGUAAUCGUAGAUCAGCAUGCUACGGUGAAUACGUUCCCGGGUCU